rnacentral:rRNA from 1 species
AGCUGGAUUCGCUAGUAAUCGCGCAUCAGCCAUGGCGCGGUGAAUACGUUCCCGGGCCUUGUACACACCGCCCGUCAAGCCAUGAAAGCCGGGGGCGCCUGAAGUCCGUGACCGCGAGGGUCGGCCUAGGGUGAAACCGGUGAUUGGGGCUAAGUCGUAACAAGGUAGC